CCUAUAAAUAGGAGUACCCACCAACAGGAAGUAUCUUAACCUCAACUCCUAGACUCUCUAAUAUUAUUCUUCUUGUCACUCACUCUCUACUUCAUAUACUGACUUGAUCGUCGGAGAGCCUUUUCAGGUACCUCCACCGGCGGGUCCAACUCUUUGCUGCCUUCAGUCACCUUGACGACCGCUUCCUACCUCUUCAUCAACAUCUGACUCAUCAUUGUCCGUACUCUUGUGUUCUGAUAAAGAACAAU
rnacentral:lncRNA from 1 species